AAGUCUUCUUGCUAUAUUUGUUAUUGAAAAUCACAAUUAAAAUGUGUAACAUAUAUUUUUACUAUUGCGACCUGGUAAAGUUGGAUACAUUUGUUAAGCAGAAACGCCAAGCAAUAUAAAACAGUACAGUGACUUGGACCUCCAACAUCCCACCAUAUAUCCACCAUAAAGAUCUCACUGAAAAACCAGAAGCUGUCCAUUCUUCUGUAGACUCCGUCUGGAGGUAUUGAGUAAUGGAUGUCCAUCUUUAAUCCACUGUACUGUGGGAAUGGGAAAUCCUUCAACAAUACAAUGCAGAGCAGCCUCCAUUUCAACAGCUACUGUGACGUUUUGCGGGCCUUCAAUGAUCCUUAUGUUCAUACUGGAACCUGUGCAGCAGGGGAUUGUGGGUGACGCAGACAUAAUGUCCUUGGUCUGCUUUGGUGAUGUUAGCAAUGUGCAAAGUGCCUGAAGUCUUCAUUUGGAUCCCUCCUCCAUACUGCCCCUAGUGGAGGAGAACUGUCACCAGAAACACACUGAAAGAAAACAUCCUGACCCUCUUCAGUUCUUAGAGACUGGGGAUGAAAGAAAACAUCCUCCAAACCUACAAACAAACAUAAUCGCAGUCACAAAGUCGACUCCUG